GUAGAACGCUGAGAACUGGUGCUUGCACCGGUUCAAGGAGUUGCGAACGGGUGAGUAACGCGUAGGUAACCUACCUCAUAGCGGGGGAUAACUAUUGGAAACGAUAGCUAAUACCGCAUAAGAGAGACUAAACGCAUGUUAGUAAUUUAAAAGGGGCAAUUGCUCCACUAUGAGAUGGACCUGCGUUGUAUUAGCUAGUUGGUGAGGUAAAGGCUCACCAAAGCGACGAUACAUAUGCCGACCUGAGAGGGUGAUCGGCCACACUGGGACUGAGACACGGCCCAGACUCUUACGUGAGGCAGCAGUAGGGAAUCUUCGGCAAUGGGGGCAACCCUGACCGAGCAACGCCGCGUGAGUGAAGAAGGUUUUCGGAUCGUAAAGCUCUGUUGUUAGAGAAGAAUGAUGGUGGGAGUGGAAAAUCCACCAAGUGACGGUAACUAACCAGAAAGGGACGGCUAACUACGUGCCAGCAGCCGCGGUAAUACGUAGGUCCCGAGCGUUGUCCGGAUUUAUUGGGCGUAAAGCGAGCGCAGGCGGUUUUUUAAGUCUGAAGUUAAAGGCAUUGGCUCAACCAAUGUACGCUUUGGAAACUGGAGAACUUGAGUGCAGAAGGGGAGAGUGGAAUUCCAUGUGUAGCGGUGAUAUGCGUAGAUAUAUGGAGGAACACCGGUGGCGAAAGCGGCUCUCUGGUCUG
rnacentral:rRNA from 1 species